rnacentral:rRNA from 1 species
GUGCCAGCAGCUGCGGUUAUACAAAAAAUACAAGUAAAUUUUAUUAAAUUAAGUUAAAUUGUAAAAUAUUUAAUAAUAAAAAAAUUUUUAGGUGAAAUUUUAAUUUUUUUAUUUUUAAAAAAGGAAAAUUUAUUGAAGCUAGAAAAUUUUGUUAAUAAACUAGGAUUAGAUACCCUAUUAUUAAAAAAUGUAUUUUAAAAAGUUAGAGUAGUAAUAGUUAUGUUCUUGAAACUCAAAAAAUUUGGCGGUAUUUUAGUCUAUUCAGAGGAACCUGUGGUGUAAUCGAUAAUCCACGAUGAAUCUUACUUAUUUUUGUUUUUCAAUUUGUAUACCGCCGUUAUUUAAAAAUUUUUUGAAAAUAAUAAUUUUUAUAAUUUUUUAUUAAAGAAAAAGUCAGGUCAAGGUGCAGUUUAUACUUAAGUAUUUCAUGGGUUACAAUAAAUUUAUUUAUAUGGAUUAAAUUAUGCAAUUAGUUUAUGAAAGUGGAUUUGGUAGUAAAUUUUUAAAGAUUAAAAAAUUGAUUUUAGCUCUAAAAUAUG